UACGUAGGGUCCGAGCGUUGUCCGGAGUUACUGGGCGUAAAGCGCGCGCAGGCGGCGGUGCUGGCCCGGCGUGAAAGCCCCCGGCUCAACCGGGGAGGGUCGUCGGGGACCGCACCGCUUGAGGGCGGUAGGGGCUGGUGGAAUGCCUGGUGUAGUGGUGAAAUGCGUAGAGAUCAGGCGGAACACCCGUGGCGAAGGCGGCCACCUGGGCCGACCCUGACGCUGAGGCGCGAAGGCGUGGGGAGCGAACGGG
rnacentral:rRNA from 1 species